GUCUAUUAAUGCAGCUGGCGAGAUGAUGAAUGGUGUAGCAGGGAUGUUCUCUUCUGCAACAGGGGCAGGAAAGGGAAAUGGUUUGUUCUCUCAAUCCAGCUCUAGCUCAGGGACAAAUACGGGCAAAAUCUCAGGCAGCGUAUCUUCCAUGAGGGGCAGUCGACAAGGAAAGGCCUCAAGAGUCAGUCUCCCCAGUUUCUCACGUCGGAAGCUUCUUAGUUUGGAUCUAAAUCUCCAAAAAGGAGAAGCAGGCAUUUUGCCUGGUGCUUCCCCGAAUUCACCUGGGCUUCCUAAUGACCUUCUGGGCCCUGCAUCUUCUUCACCUGCGAGCGGCCAAGAAACUGCAAACCUCCCUCCUUCCGUCAUCGUCCGUGUCCAGAAGGGAACCAAUAACCAAGCUCUCGAGCAGCUCAAAUCAGAAGGCGGCAAGAUCCAAUUCAUCCCACUGGGACCUCCAGAAUCCUCCGGCGAUGCUCUCCUGUAACGAUAUGCAGACGCGCUGCACAUCCAAGAGAAGGCGUGAGCAGAAGAACCACGGCCACUUUGCCGGCAGGACUCUGAAUCAUGUCGAAUCGCUGCUGCUUUUUGCUUCUGACCCUGGAGCUCUUCCCCCUUCCUCCUCCACCUCCCCUUCAACCUGCAACUGAGACUAGAAAUGGCGUUUUUGGAUGCACAAUCCACCCCUGGACUCUUUCUAUCUAUCAUUGAAAGGCGGAACAGAAACGCUAUAAAUAAUUGCAGGAUCUGAUGGACAUGCUUCCCAACUGCGCUGCUGCUUUGAAUGCACAUGUCUGGCAAAAUUAAUAAAUCAUGCAUUGGAUAAAAUCACCUGUCUUUUCUUUCUUUCUUUCUUUCUUUCUUUCUUUCUUUCUUUCUUUCUUUCUUUCUUUCUUUGGUGUUUUCAGUUCUUUGUUCUCUGGCACUGGGAACCUAAAUGCCCCUUUGAGGGAGACAUGUAUUUCCCAAAAUACCAACCAACAAACAUCAC
rnacentral:lncRNA from 11 species